GCGGUUGCAGAUUCAUUGUAGCCGUUCUUGUUCGCUUUCUCUUUCUUUUUCUUCCUUUAUUUUAUUUAUUGUUCUUUCU
rnacentral:ribozyme from 1 species